rnacentral:rRNA from 1 species
CAUUGUCGAGACCCAACAGAGAUCGAGCAAUUUUGAUAACCCGUAAACUAAUCACAAGGUGGCGGCGAUAGCUGCCACCAAUUACCCGACCUUUGUUGCUUCUCCUUGAUUGGAGCUAUGGCAUAGAGGUUGGGCCAAAAACAAAAUCGGCACGGAUUUGUGCCAAGGGAUAUCGUACAACUUGAGCGUGUGGCGUUUCAUGAUGCCUGACAGGCAUUAUGGAGUGUUACAACGCUUCUUAUGGAUCUAAGACUCCCGGCAAUGGAUAUCUUGGCUCUUGCAUCGAUGAAGAGCGCAGCGAAAUGCGAUACGUGGUGCGAAUUGCAGAAUCCCGUGAACCAUCGAGUUUUUGAACGCAAGUUGCGCCUGAGGCCAACUGGCCGAGGGCACGUCCGCCUGGGCGUCAUGCAUUACAUCGCUCCAUCUGUCUCCCAUCCUCAAAGAUGCGAUGGCCGGAUUGGAUGCGGAGAGUGGCCCGUCGUGUGUUUAAAUGCGCGGCGGGUUGAAGAGUGGCUUGCUUUGCUCUUUGACACAGUCGAUAAGCGGGUGGACGGAAGUUGCCGCGCAUCAUCAUCAUCGUACUGUUGUAUUGAGGAAGGCAGGAUAACAUCCUAGGCUAACCUAACUCCGACGCAGCAAGUGGUGCCUUGGAAUGCGACCCCAGGAUGGGCGGGAU